GCUCAAGAAGUUCUUGCAGA
rnacentral:snRNA from 1 species